rnacentral:lncRNA from 1 species
GUUAUCAGUUUGUCUUGUAAAGAGACUACUGAAAUGUCUUCCCCUUUUUGAGCUGUGUCUGACAGCUGUGCUAGAAAUCCCUUUGUGUUNCUGCCCGAACUGCGGCCGGCUAAAGGACCCAGGAGGAAAGGAGAAUGGCAAAUGCAAUAUUCACAACCUCAGCAGACUCUCUAUAGUGUACAGCAACAGUUGCAGCAACCUCAGCAGACCCUUUUAACUCAGGUUAGUUUGGCUUUAUUGUUUGGUCUUCAUCCCCAAACACAGAUAAUGCAAGAGUGCAAAUUUGUGACAUCUUGGUAUUUUAAUCUGUAAAAUGAACUAAUAUGAAUGAACAUUUUAUUGGUACAGGUUUAUUUUAUCCAGAUGUUAAAAUAUGCAUAGCCUUGGUUUCAAAAAUUAAUAGCAACCACUCUUCCUUAAUCUUGAAGGGAACAUGUGUGUUGAUAGUAUAAUAAUUUUUUUUUGUUUGAACUUCAAGUGUCCAUUUGUUUUGCAGUAAAUAACAAAUGGGGAAAAUCUUUCUCUUCUCUGUGAAGGAAUUUAAUUUCCUGUAUUAACAGUGUGUGUAUAAAGAGAUUUAAAAAGAACCUUGCUGAGCCUGACGGGUUAACACAUUGCAAAUUCCUCUAGUUCCAUUUUCACUUGAACUUUUAAACAGGCUUUAAAAAGGUAAAAAUGUUUGACUUGAUUUCAUGAUCUUAACUGUGUUCUGCUUUUGUAAGGGGAGUACAUGACCUGUUGAGCUAGGGAAGGGUUUGUGUUGUCCUCAGCCUUUACUGACUUCUAAUUCCAGGUGGGAUUUAAAUGCAGAAUGACCUCUUGAGCAUUUAUUCCUAGCAAAGCUGGGAAUUUAUCUCCACCUUAGGCCCACUGUG